UUAAGCGACUAAGCGUACACGGUGGAUGCCCUGGCAGUCAGAGGCGAUGAAGGACGUGCUAAUCUGCGAUAAGCGUCGGUAAGGUGAUAUGAACCGUUAUAACCGGCGAUUUCCGAAUGGGGAAACCCAGUGUGAUUCGUCACACUAUCAUUAACUGAAUCCAUAGGUUAAUGAGGCGAACCGGGGGAACUGAAACAUCUAAGUACCCCGAGGAAAAGAAAUCAACCGAGAUUCCCCCAGUAGCGGCGAGCGAACGGGGAGCAGCCCAGAGCCUGAAUCAGUGUGUGUGUUAGUGGAAGCGUCUGGAAAGGCGCGCGAUACAGGGUGACAGCCCCGUACACAAAAAUGCACAUACUGUGAGCUCGAUGAGUAGGGCGGGACACGUGGUAUCCUGUCUGAAUAUGGGGGGACCAUCCUCCAAGGCUAAAUACUCCUGACUGACCGAUAGUGAACCAGUACCGUGAGGGAAAGGCGAAAAGAACCCCGGCGAGGGGAGUGAAAAAGAACCUGAAACCGUGUACGUACAAGCAGUGGGAGCACGCUUCGGCGUGUGACUGCGUACCUUUUGUAUAAUGGGUCAGCGACUUAUAUUCUGUAGCAAGGUUAACCGAAUAGGGGAGCCGAAGGGAAACCGAGUCUUAACUGGGCGUUAAGUUGCAGGGUAUAGACCCGAAACCCGGUGAUCUAGCCAUGGGCAGGUUGAAGGUUGGGUAACACUAACUGGAGGACCGAACCGACUAAUGUUGAAAAAUUAGCGGAUGACUUGUGGCUGGGGGGGAAAGGCCAAUCAAACCGGGAGAUAGCUGGUUCUCCCCGAAAGCUAUUUAGGUAGCGCCUCGUGAAUUCAUCUCCGGGGGUAGAGCACUGUUUCGGCAAGGGGGUCAUCCCGACUUACCAACCCGAUGCAAACUGCGAAUACCGGAGAAUGUUAUCACGGGAGACACACGGCGGGUGCUAACGUCCGUCGUGAAGAGGGAAACAACCCAGACCGCCAGCUAAGGUCCCAAAGUCAUGGUUAAGUGGGAAACGAUGUGGGAAGGCCCAGACAGCCAGGAUGUUGGCUUAGAAGCAGCCAUCAUUUAAAGAAAGCGUAAUAGCUCACUGGUCGAGUCGGCCUGCGCGGAAGAUGUAACGGGGCUAAACCAUGCACCGAAGCUGCGGCAGCGACACUAUGUGUUGUUGGGUAGGGGAGCGUUCUGUAAGCCUGUGAAGGUGUCCUGUGAGGCAUGCUGGAGGUAUCAGAAGUGCGAAUGCUGACAUAAGUAACGAUAAAGCGGGUGAAAAGCCCGCUCGCCGGAAGACCAAGGGUUCCUGUCCAACGUUAAUCGGGGCAGGGUGAGUCGACCCCUAAGGCGAGGCCGAAAGGCGUAGUCGAUGGGAAACAGGUUAAUAUUCCUGUACUUGGUGUUACUGCGAAGGGGGGACGGAGAAGGCUAUGUUGGCCGGGCGACGGUUGUCCCGGUUUAAGCGUGUAGGCUGGUUUUCCAGGCAAAUCCGGAAAAUCAAGGCUGAGGCGUGAUGACGAGGCACUACGGUGCUGAAGCAACAAAUGCCCUGCUUCCAGGAAAAGCCUCUAAGCAUCAGGUAACAUCAAAUCGUACCCCAAACCGACACAGGUGGUCAGGUAGAGAAUACCAAGGCGCUUGAGAGAACUCGGGUGAAGGAACUAGGCAAAAUGGUGCCGUAACUUCGGGAGAAGGCACGCUGAUAUGUAGGUGAAGUCCCUCGCGGAUGGAGCUGAAAUCAGUCGAAGAUACCAGCUGGCUGCAACUGUUUAUUAAAAACACAGCACUGUGCAAACACGAAAGUGGACGUAUACGGUGUGACGCCUGCCCGGUGCCGGAAGGUUAAUUGAUGGGGUUAGCGGUAACGCGAAGCUCUUGAUCGAAGCCCCGGUAAACGGCGGCCGUAACUAUAACGGUCCUAAGGUAGCGAAAUUCCUUGUCGGGUAAGUUCCGACCUGCACGAAUGGCGUAAUGAUGGCCAGGCUGUCUCCACCCGAGACUCAGUGAAAUUGAACUCGCUGUGAAGAUGCAGUGUACCCGCGGCAAGACGGAAAGACCCCGUGAACCUUUACUAUAGCUUGACACUGAACAUUGAGCCUUGAUGUGUAGGAUAGGUGGGAGGCUUUGAAGUGUGGACGCCAGUCUGCAUGGAGCCGACCUUGAAAUACCACCCUUUAAUGUUUGAUGUUCUAACGUUGGCCCCUGAUCCGGGUUGCGGACAGUGUCUGGUGGGUAGUUUGACUGGGGCGGUCUCCUCCUAAAGAGUAACGGAGGAGCACGAAGGUUGGCUAAUCCUGGUCGGACAUCAGGAGGUUAGUGCAAUGGCAUAAGCCAGCUUGACUGCGAGCGUGACGGCGCGAGCAGGUGCGAAAGCAGGUCAUAGUGAUCCGGUGGUUCUGAAUGGAAGGGCCAUCGCUCAACGGAUAAAAGGUACUCCGGGGAUAACAGGCUGAUACCGCCCAAGAGUUCAUAUCGACGGCGGUGUUUGG
rnacentral:rRNA from 1 species